rnacentral:lncRNA from 1 species
AUAUUUAGGCCAGUGAGGUGAAGGUACUGUCAGCCUGUACCGUGUCCAGUAUCGCGGUUUUCUUGCUUCAUCAGCUGUUAUCACUCCCACUUAAAAAUAGUUAUUAGAAAAACGGAAAUCAGUCAUUAAACUGUAUUUCAUCAUGGUAAUAAUGGUAAUGUGGACCAAGUUGAGGAAGUGGAGGAGGUCUGUCUGCCACGUUUAGUGGUGAGAGAUAGAAGGAUCCAGUUGUCAUGCAGUCAGAGGAGGAGUUCUUGAAACGUUAUCAACUGCCAAAGCAGUGCACCAGAAACCUGCUUCAGAAAAUCAGCAGAAAAUUACCCACAGCAAGAGAUGGCAGAGGUUGCAGCUUGUGUUAUGUUGCAUAAUCUAGCCACAACUGAGAAUAUUGAUAUUGCCAAAGA